GCUCUGCAACUGUAGUGAAAGUUUAAAAAAAUUCUGUAGUGUGUGAUUUUUUUAAAAGCGAAAAAUUUAUUGCGAAAUUUCCACAGUACAGAUUUUUUUAAAAUUUGAAAUUUAUAAAAUUUACCGCAAAAUAAAUUCGUGGUCAAAAUUUGAAGAUAGGUCACCGAUGAAACUAAUGAGUAAAAUGCAAAUAAAGUUAGAAAAUAGCCUCGUGUAACUCGAGAAAUUCCCCUAUUGAAAAGCGUCGCUGACUAGUAAAAGAUUGUACGCGGGCGCAGAACGAGUUUUCAUUCAGCAAAAUCACAGAGUAAGGAUAUACAGAGGCGGAACUCGAGGCAAAUCAUGUCCCCACUUUUUUAAUGCGCAUGCGCGACCCUCUGGCAAGUGUCAUGCACAUUUUUUAUCAGGAAAAAGAUAGGGAAAUGCAAAAUUUUGGCAGUAAAACGGCGAUUUUAAGCGCAGUAACCGAUCAAUCUUCAUUUUCUGCACGAAUUUUGCAAAUAAAUGGCACACUGCGUCUUCUUAGCGAAAGGGAAUUGAACGAAUACCAUUUUUAACGGCGAAAAUGAGAAAAGACACCCGAAGGAGUGAGAAUUUCUGGCAAUCUGAAGAUUCGAUUCUGUAGACCUGAACUCCAGCUGGAAUUUGGCAACUUUAUAUGUGAGUUUUUUUUCUCUAGCUCAUAUAUAUGAAAUUAUCAAUAUAUUUUUGUGAAGUGCAAUGUUGUAUGAAAGGGUUGUCGUUAAUUUAAACAUUGCAUAAACUGAAAUAGCAUUCAGAUACGAAAAAUAUGAACAUCAACAUUCAACAUGGACUGAUGGACAUCGAGCCACAGUACUCUAAAGUUCUCAUAUAGACUUUAUUUAACUUAUAUGUUGACCCAAUGGUGAGGGAUUGAUCAAAUUAUACUUUAUAGUGAUUCCCCUAGAUUAGUGCAUUGGUUAUUGUGCAAUGACAACCUUUUUUUGGCUCUCAAAGGUCAAUAAUUUCUCAAACAUGCCAAGUCUGUACAUGUUUAAUAAUCUAAUCUGUUUAUUUUUUAUUUUGCUUUUCUAGAUUGCCAAUCAUUCCUGUUGAACUACAUUGUUCAUUACAAUGAAUCAGAUGCAGAUUCUUACAACUAUGUUAAUUUGUUCACCUGAUUGGGGAAAACCUGAGACUAUUUGAUCUUAUAUUGGAAUGCCUACCAAUUUUACAUAGCCUCAGGCAAUGUUUAUAUAAUUAAUCUUGAGUAAUAGAGAUGCUGUACCCCCUGACGGAGUGACCUUACUACCUGGAUUAUCCCACUAGACAAGACAAGUUCAAAACUUUCCAUGCAAACACUUGCAUGGCAGUUGCUAUAAUAGGAUAUGAAUAUAGUUUUGCCUUGCCAGGGUGGCUCGGGGGGGGGGGUAGGAUUUCCCUAGUACCCGGAGACCAUAUAGACAGGCCGUCGGAUUACUGUAAUAGUUUAAUUGAGGUUCAAAAAAGCAGCCCCCCCCCAAGUGGUAGGCCUGCUCCCCAAAUCCAGCCCCCCUUGGAAGAUGUACUGUAAAGGUAGACAAUUUUACUUGUUAGCCCAACUUUAUUAUUCUGUCUAACACCAGACGAUCCAGUUAACCCAUCGAGUUGCAUUGCAUGUGCCCUGAUGCACCCUACUUUAUUAUUUUACUCUGUCUAACGCCAGACGAUUUUACUCGUCAAGGGGUGAGCACACUUUAACAGGCAAAGUAUUAAUUGGGAAUACUUUCUCUUUUAAUGGGAAACUCUUUAUCAAUAAAAGGAACAAUGCAAUUAUUCAUAGUAUUUAAUUUUUCAUAUAAAGCAAAGACUGUAAGAGGAAACAUGGAUCAUUGGCUACUUUUUUUAUUUAGUAUAAAUUUUCAUGACAACAUGUGGGGUCAACUAUAAAGGAAACAGUUAUUGCCUAUUUUGGAAUAAAAAAAUUAGAAUUAUAGCAAUAUUCA
rnacentral:lncRNA from 1 species